GUAGGUGGCAAGCGUUGUCCGGGAAUUAUUGGGGCGUAAAGCGCGCGCAGGCGGUUCUUUAAGUCUGAUGUGAAAGCCCACGGGCUCAACCGUGGGAGGGUCAUUGGAAACUGGAGAACUUGAGUACAGAAGAGGAAAGCGGAAUUCCACGUGUAGCGGUGAAAUGCGUAGAGAUGUGGAGGAACACCAGUGGCGAAGGCGGCUUUCUGGUCUGCAACUGACGCUGAGGCGCGAAAGCGUGGGGAGCAAACAGGAUUAGAUACCCUGGUAGUCCACGCCGUAAACGAUGAGUGCUAAGUGUUAGGGGGUUUCCGCCCCUUAGUGCUGCAGCUAACGCAUUAAGCACUCCGCCUGGGGAGUACGGCCGCAAAGGCUGA
rnacentral:rRNA from 1 species